UUUCGUCCCUGUGUACAUCUAACUUUUGUAUGCCUUGAUUAAGCCGUCCCUCCCCCUGGGUCCACAUAGUCUGAGUGCAUAUUUUUGGAAAUACAACAUUUGAAUUUUUCUUAUAUUUUACUAGAAAUUAUGCACAAUAACACAGUAAAUUUUUAGUAAAAUGUUCAAGGAAAAGAAUCUUCCAACAGCAGCAGAUGACACAGCAAAUCUUUAGUAAAAUGUUCAAGGAAAGGAUCUUCCAACAGCGGCAGAUAACACAAUAAAUCUUUACUCUGUCUAACGCUACAAUCCUGGACAAAAAGUGGCAAAAACUAGUUUAUUACUUCAAAAUAUAAUUUUAAGACAUGUUUGUCCCAAUGAUGUCCCCUUCCCCCAAUAUCAAUGUUUGGCCAAGUUAUCUGGCCUUGAAUACACCCAUCAACAUUGAUAUUAGGGGAAGGGGGGUGAAAUUCGAUGAAUUUUCUUAUUUUUUACCCUUUUGCCAAUAAUUUAUGUCCAAGAUUGUAGAUGAUUUUACUCAUCAAGUGGAGUCUUGCAACUUAAUGGGUUAAUGAAUCAGUUGGUUAUUACAACCGAUUUCAACUUGAUUCAUAUUUAACAUUCACUUUAACCCAUUUAUUGACAGCACUCUACCACUGACGAGUAAUUAAUCGUCUGGCAUCAGACAGAGUAAAUACUAUAAGUAGGUACAUUUGGGCACAUUCACAUUGCCAGUUAAUGAGUUAAUAUUGACAACAUUAAAAACAGACUAGGGUGUCAAAGGCUACGUGGAUGCUUCUUUGCCUGCAACAAAGCAUAAAGUGGGACUGCCACAUGAUCAAUGUUAGAUUUCAGCAAUGAAGGGAAUCAAUAUUUUAAUAAAAUAAUUGUUAUUAAUAAAAUAAUUGUUAAAAUAAUCAAUAUUUUAAAAUUAAUAAAAUAAUUGUUGUCAAUUAAUAAAAUAAUUGUUAGAAAUUGUUGGGUUAAUAAUUAUUGGGUUAAUAAUUAUUGAAAUAUGUUGUGCUAUAGCAGACUAUGAAGUGAUUAUGCAUAUAUAGUAUAUAAAAUGGACAUUAGAUGACUCAACCUGGCCUAGUUAGCCAGGCUUGUCUUCAGUGUCUUGCUUAGCCAAGAUCCUGACUCAUAUGAUAACCAUUUUCUAUUCUGGCAAGGCAGGCUAGCCUGCAUGGCUCAUGUAAACAGGGCCUAAGAUGAUACAUUUUAACAUCAUAUAGUAGGCAUGUGAAUAUCAUACCGGCAGAUAAUUGAAUGAAAGCCUUUUUCCAUUGUUUUGUAUUUCUACCAUUUAUUUGUAGUCCCCGAGCCGGCGGCGCGAAGCGCCGUGCGAGGGUACUAAUUCCCCCCGGCUAUUUACACCCGGGGAAACGAAAGCAUUAGCGGAGUCUAAAGUUCAUCAAAUAUCGCGGGCGUGGGUCACCAACGA